UAGGGAAUAUUGGACAAUGGGCGCAAGCCUGAUCCAGCCAUGCCGCGUGAGUGAAGAAGGCCCUCGGGUUGUAAAGCUCUUUUGUCCGGAAAGAAAAGCAUCGGGUUAAUACCCCGGUGUUCUGACGGUACCGGAAGAAUAAGCACCGGCUAACUUCGUGCCAGCAGCCGCGGUAAUACGAAGGGUGCAAGCGUUACUCGGAAUUACUGGGCGUAAAGCGCGCGUAGGCCGUCUUUUAAGUCGGACGUGAAAGCCCUCGGCUCAACCGGGGAACUGCGUUCGAUACUGGGAGACUUGAGUCCUGGAGAGGGUGGCGGAAUUCCGGGUGUAGGAGUGGAAUCCGUAGAUAUCCGGAGGAACACCGGUGGCGAAGGCGGCCACCUGGACAGGUACUGACGCUGAGGCGCGAAAGCGUGGGGAGCAAAC
rnacentral:rRNA from 1 species